UUCAGCCACUAGCCCCUUGGGUCCAUCAUUAUUCCAUAAUCAGCACAACCUGAAGGCAGACCCAGUUGCCAUGCUAAGGAUCAUGCUCAACCACGCGCCAGCACCUCUUCUCCCAGCACUUGGGACUGAGCCCCCAUAGCAUGGCAUGUGUGUUAAUGCUUUUGCAAAACUAGGAGCACCUCAGAAGCUAUCUCAGCCCUGGGUGCUGUCUCCCCAGUCUUCUCCCCACUCCAUGCCCCAGUGCAGCCCUGGUCACAGUGCUGAUUACAAAGCUGCAGAGCGAUAAGUAAACCAGUUGUUCUUGGCCUUUUCCUCACAGACUCCUUGAAUGUCCCCAGGUUGUGGCUGUGCUUUUACUACUGCUGGAUGGUAACAAAGUCCACAAAACAGGUCACAAGCCACCCCUCACGUCCGUGUAAUGCCUCAUGAUUUUCGAUUGUUAUCUCAUGGGAUCCUUCCACAAUCCAGUGAAAUAAGCAGGCAUGAUGGAGAACAGAUCAUGGACCCACUCUCAUGGACUGGACCUUCAUGGAGCUUACUGUCUAACAGGGGAGACAGACAUCAAUUCAAAACUGAAAAAAAUAAGUAUCUAAUUGCAAACCAUGAUAAGUGCUAUGAAAAAAAAAUUUAUGGCUCUAUUGGUGUGAAUGACAGAAGGUCCUGACCCAGACUGGGGAAUCAAGGAAGCUUUCUCUGAGGAAACGAUGUUUGAAUUACAGUCUAAAGAAUAAAGAGGAGGCUGGGUGAGGUGGUUCAUACCUGUAAUCCCAGCACUUUGAGAGGCCAAGGUGGGCAGAUCACUUGAGGCCAGGAGUUCAAGACCAGCCUAGCCACCAUGGUGAAACCCCAUAUCUACUAAAAAUACAAACGUUAGCCAGGUAUGGUGACACAUGACUGUAACCUCAUCUACUUGGGAGGCUGGGGCAUGAGAAUUGCUUGAACCCAGGAGGCAAAAGUUACAGUGAGCCAAGAUUGUACCACUGCACUCCAGCCUGGAUGAUAGAACGAGACUGUUUCAAAAAAAAAAAAAAAAAAAAGGAGAAGAGGAAUAAUUAGGUAAUGGGGUGUGUGUGUGUGCGCGCACGCGUGUGUGUAUGUGCACGUGUGUGUGCAGUAGCAUGUGCCCCUGUGGAAGAGGGAGGUAUUCCAGAGAGAGAACAGAGUGUGUACAAAUGUCUUGAAGGAGAGAUAUGAGAAGGGGCAGGUGUGGUUUGAGAGGUGGGUAAAGGCAGGGAGGACCCAAGUCACUCAGGGCCUUAAAGGCCACGGUGAGGAGUCUGGCUCAAGGACAAUGAAAGACUCGCCGUGGAAGGAUUUCAAGUGAUCAGAGCUUUGUUUUGAAAAGACCCCUCUGGCUGCAGACUGAAGGAUCUAGAUGGGCUUCUUGAAGGCCUGUCAAGGAGCCACUGCAGUGGCCCAGGUGAGGCAUGCAGUGGUAGGACGGCCUAGAAUGGGGGACAGAGUGGGGAUGUUUACAAGGCAAAAUUGGCAGAUCCUGUCAAGGCAGGUGAGGGAGAUGGAACGUCAGGGCUGAUUUCCGGUUUGCACGGUGGGGUGAACAGUGGCGUGGCUCACUGGAUCAGGCACACAGGUAGAGAACUAGUUUGGGAGUUAAGAUAAUGACUUUGGUUUUGUGCAUGCUGGUUUUGAGGAGUCAUAGGGACAUCCAAGUAGAGUCGUUUAGUGGGAAAUUGGCGACUGGGGCUGAUGCUAAGAGGAGAGAGCUGGGCUGAGACAUAAAUUUGGCAGUUGUCAGUGUGUAGAUGGUAACUGAAGUCAUGAGUGAAUAUGAGACUGCCCAAGAAUAGAAUAUAAAGUUAAAAAAAAAUAGGAAAAAAAUGUCUGAUUUGGCAGUAUCCACUAAAGCUAAACAGAAUCAUACCCUAUGACUUAACCAUAGAUCCUAGUCAUAUUCCCAAGAGAAAUGAGUGCAUAUAUCAACCAAAAAACAUGAACAAGAAUGUUCAUAGUAGCUUUAGAGAUAAGAGCCAAAAACUAGUAACAACCCAAAUAUCUAGCAUCGGUAGAAUGGAUUAAAUGUGGCACAUUCAUACAAUCAGAUACUAUACAGCAUCAAACAAGAACCAACCACUGCCACACACAACACCAUGGCUGAAUCUCACAAACAUAAUCACAAGCAAAACAAAACAAAUAGAUACAAAAGAGUAUAUACUGUAUAGGGGAUACACAUAUACCAGGAGGUUCAAGUAUGAGUGAAAUUGAUCUAUACUGAUAGAAUAGUGGUUAACGUUUGUGGGGUAGCACUGACUAGGAAACAGCCUGAAGGAACUUUGUGGGGUGCUGGAAAUGUUUUAUAUCAAUGUAAAUACAUACCAAUGUAAAAUAAAAAUACCACAUUGUAAGACAUACCAGUGUAAAUAUUCUUCAAGCUAUAAUACUGGUGCAUUGUACUCUUACGAUUUAAAAGAUCAGAGCUUGGGACUGAGCCUUGAGUAGUGACAACACUAAAUGACCAAGUAGAAGAAAAUGAACUGGCAGAGACAGAGGAGUGGGUAGACAUAGGAAGAAAACCAAGAGAGUAUGAUUGUCAAGAAAGGGAGUAGUUCAAAAAAGAGGUGGUGGGGGCCUGGUGUGGUGGCUCACACCUGUAAUCCCAGCACUUUGGGAGGUUG